UACGAAGGGGGCUAGCGUUGCUCGGAAUCACUGGGCGUAAAGGGCGCGUAGGCGGCCGAUCAAGUCAGAGGUGAAAGCCCAAGGCUCAACCUUGGAAUUGCCUUUGAUACUGUUCGGCUCGAGACCGGAAGAGGUUAGUGGAACUGCGAGUGUAGAGGUGAAAUUCGUAGAUAUUCGGAAGAACACCAGUGGCGAAGGCGGCUCACUGGACUGGUAUUGACGCUGAGGUGCGAAAGCGUGGGGAGCAAACAGG
rnacentral:rRNA from 1 species